rnacentral:rRNA from 1 species
UCCGGAGGGUGCAAACGUUGCUCGGAAUCAUUGGGCGUAAAGCGCACGUAGGCGGCGGCAUAAGUGUGAUGUCAAAGCCCAGGGCUCAACCUUGGAAGUGCAUCCCGAACUGUGUCGCUUGAAUCUCGGAGGGGGACAGAGAAUUCCCGGUGUAGAGGUGAAAUUCGUAGAUAUCGGGAGGAAUACCAGUGGCGAAGGCGCUGUCCUGGACGAAGAUUGACGCUGAGGUGCGAAAGCGUGGGGAGAAAACAGG